UGGGGAAUAUUGGACAAUGGGCGAAAGCCUGAUCCAGCCAUGCCGCGUGUGUGAAGAAGGCCUUUUGGUUGUAAAGCACUUUAAGUGGGGAGGAAAAGCUUAUGGUUAAUACCCAUAAGCCCUGACGUUACCCACAGAAUAAGCACCGGCUAACUCUGUGCCAGCAGCCGCGGUAAUACAGAGGGUGCAAGCGUUAAUCGGAAUUACUGGGCGUAAGGCGCGCGUAGGUGGUUAUUUAAGUCAGAUGUGAAAGCCCCGGGCUUAACCUGGGAACUGCAUCUGAUACUGGAUAACUAGAGUAGGUGAGAGGGGAGUAGAAUUCCAGGUGUAGCGGUGAAAUGCGUAGAGAUCUGGAGGAAUACCGAUGGCGAAGGCAGCUCCCUGGCAUUAUACUGACACUGAGGUGCGAAAGCGUGGGUAGCAAACAGGAUUAGAUACCCUGGUAGUCCACGCCGUAAACGAUGUCUACCAGUCGUUGGGUCUUUUAAAGACUUAGUGACGCAGUUAACGCAAUAAGUAGACCGCCUGGGGAGUACGGCCGCAAGGUUA
rnacentral:rRNA from 1 species